rfam:Polaribacter irgensii 23-P scf_1099646005584 genomic scaffold, whole genome shotgun sequence.
UUAACGGCUCCUUUAGGAGCUAAUUUUUCAAAAGAAAUAUUGU